UCCGGUUCGGCAGCCUACCAUGCAGUCGAACGGUAACAUUAUCUAGCUUGCUAGAUGAUGACGAGUGGCGGACGGGUGAGUAAUGCUUGGGAACUUGCCUUUGGGAGGGGGAUAACAGUUGGAAACGACUGCUAAUACCGCAUAACGUCUACGGACCAAAGGGGGCUUCGGCUCUCGCCUGAAGAGAGGCCCAAGUGAGAUUAGCUAGUUGGUAAGGUAAAGGCUUACCAAGGCGACGAUCUCUAGCUGUUCUGAGAGGAAGAUCAGCCACACUGGGACUGAGACACGGCCCAGACUCCUACGGGAGGCAGCAGUGGGGAAUAUUGCACAAUGGGGGAAACCCUGAUGCAGCCAUGCCGCGUGUGUGAAGAAGGCCUUCGGGUUGUAAAGCACUUUCAGUUGUGAGGAAAGGUUGGUAGUUAAUACCUGCCAGCUGUGACGUUAACAACAGAAGAAGCACCGGCUAACUCCGUGCCAGCAGCCGCGGUAAU
rnacentral:rRNA from 1 species